UAUAGCUGAGUCGGUAAAGCAUGAGACUCUAAAUAUCAGGGUCCUGGGCUUGAGUCCCAUGUUGGGCAA